UACGUAGGGUGCAAGCGUUAAUCGGAAUUACUGGGCGUAAAGCGUGCGCAGGCGGCUUUGCAAGACAGAUGUGAAAUCCCCGGGCUUAACCUGGGAACUGCAUUUGUGACUGCAUGGCUGGAGUGCGGCAGAGGGGGAUGGAAUUCCGCGUGUAGCAGUGAAAUGCGUAGAUAUGACGGAGGAACACCGAUGGCGAAGGCAAUCCCCUGGGCCUGCACUGACGCUCAUGCACGAAAGCGUGGGGAGCAAACAGG
rnacentral:rRNA from 1 species